AUAUCCUUCUCAACCUUUUGGCUAAGAUCAAGUGCAUCUGUUCUUAUCUAUUCUUAUCAGUUUUUAUAUCUGAUACGUCCCCUGUCCGGGGACCAUAUAUAAAUUGCUUUUCGGAACAGGGAGAUGGAAAAGGGGCUCUGUCCACUCUACGCAUGGAUGGGUUUAAUGCAGGGAGUUCAUUUCGUUGCUCUGUAC
rnacentral:snRNA from 1 species